rnacentral:rRNA from 1 species
AUUGAACGCUGGCGGCAGGCCUAACACAUGCAAGUCGAGCGGAUGAAGGGAGCUUGCUUCUGGAUUCAGCGGCGGACGGGUGAGUAAUGCCUAGGAAUCUGCCUGGCAGUGUGGGCUAACGUCCGGAAACGGGCGCUAAUACCGCAUACGUCCUGAGGGCGAAAGGGGGGGAGCUUCGGACCUCACGCUAUCAGAUGAGCCUAUGUCGGAUUAGCUAGUUGGUGGGGUAAAGGCCUACCAAGGCGACGAUCCGUAACUGGUCUGAGAGGAUGAUCAGUCACACUGGAACUGAGACACGGUCCAGACUCCUACGGGAGGCAGCAGUGGGGAAUAUUGGACAAUGGGCGAAAGCCUGAUCCAGCCAUGCCGCGUGUGUGAAGAAGGUCUUCGGAUUGUAAAGCACUUUUGGUUGGGAGGAAGGGCAGUAAGUUAAUACCUUGCUGUUUUGACGUUACCAACAGAAUAAGCACCGGCUAACUUCGUG